CAGACUCUGCCUCUGUGGCGCUGUCCCUAAACCUCUCUUGGAGUCAGAGUACCCAGCUUAAGAAAGCACCUAUGGAACAAGGGGUUGAUCAGUGGUUGGAACAUGAAGGGAGUGGAAUAAAGGGCAGAGGAUGUGGUGAGCAGCUUGGAACAGCAAGCACUGCAGAAGAGAUUUUAUCCCUCCAAGCCUAGCUUGGAAGGAAGACAGAAGCCUUAACCUCCAGGGUAACAUGUUGCAAUUUGUUCACUUAUUAAUCUAACAAGAAUGCACUGAGGUGCUCAUUAAAUGUCAGACCUUGUGUGAGGUUGAGGAAAUCCAAAAGCAAAGGAGGCAUGAACCUCCAUGCCCAUUCAGAAGGGCACCAGGCCUUUUAAGAAGGGUGGAUAUGCACAAUUUGAAAAUAACUGAUAGUCCUGACUUAUCUUUGCAAUUAAUAAGGCAAUUUCAUACACAUUUUCUACUCUGAUCCCCAGAUCACCAAUCCAAUUUUACAGGUGAGGGAAUUGAGGCAGGCUGAGGGAGGUUGCGGCUAACCCAAAGGUGCACAGCUGAAAGUGGUAGAGCUAAGGACCCACCCAAGUGUUCCGAGAACAGAUCCUGUGCAUUUUCCACCACAGCCCUGCUCCAGGAUGCUAGUCCCUGGCACUGGUAACAUUUGGAUUCACUAGAGGGAGAUGAGCUAAGAGGAUUAAAGAGGAGUCACACGUCACCAGUUUGCUUGCUGCCAUGAGCUUGUUUGAGAAAGGGAUUAGUUGUGAUGUUGCUAGUAUCAAGCAAAAUCACUCUUUUUUCUCUGCUGUUCUCUGGAAUUUGGCAUUUCUGGACAAACCAACCUACACCCAAGAGUUGCAGGAAAGCAAUUGCACAAUAAAGAAUCUUAAGUCUGGAAGUGUUUCUUUCUCCAGAUCAGCAGCAGAGAGAGCAGGUUUGAUUCAUGGAAAUAAACACCUAUCUGCAAGCCUCAAUCACAACCCAUUUCAUCUGAAGUGGUCAUGCAGGCAUUCAGGCAUCUGCAGGCUGUCCUUUCCUGGAAAUAGUGAGGAGCUGGGUACUAGAGCUGAAACCCUGGCCAUCCACAUCUUGGCCUCAUCCUUCCAAAGUGCUCCUUUUGUCUUCCUCUGAGUGCUCACAACAUUUUGAAUUUCUCAUUUAUCAUCUUUUGCUCUGCAUUAAAGUGGUUGUGUGAUUGUGAACACAACUUACACAUGCUCCUAUGUGGUCUAUAAGCUGCUUGAGGUUCGGGUGAUGUAUUCAGAGUUGCUUCUUCCUUUCAUCAAGCACAGAGUAGAUGUUCAAUGAAGGUCUUUUGUAUUUAAUGAGAUGGAAACUAAAAAUAGAUAUCAGUUUUUAGAGGAUUAAAAUCCAUAAACGGACAGAAAUUCUCCAAUACAGAACAUGUUCACAGGACCCUGAUCUUUGAGUUCUGUGAUUCUGAUAUUCUGAUUAAGUGGGAAGAGAUUUUUCAAGAAUCUUGUGCAGCCAGGCAGCUUUAUGAGUAACCGUGCCAGCCUUCACAUCCCCUCCCCACCCCCCAGAGAAGCAGGUCUUUUUGCCACCUCAAUGUAUCUGCAUAUAACAGACCUGGCAUUUCCACUGCAGUAGCCCCAACCUGUGCAUGCUUUUGAAGUUGUAAAAAAUAGCUCCGUUUUCUGCCCUUUCACGAAGUGGUGACAAAUAAUCUCUGCUGCAAUUUACACAUUUCCUGGCAAUCAUAAACUCUUGUCUCAUGAGAGAAGAUGGACUGUGUUAUAUUUUCUCUGUUUUCUUCUUGGGCUAUUCUUUGCCUCCCAAGGUUCAGGCAUGUGGAAAGAUAAUGGUGCUCAGUUUUGGGAUGGGGAUCAGAGUAUAAUAUUGUUAUGCAAAAUCAUUCCAGUAUCUUUGCUUAUUUGAUAUACUCAUACCUUCUUCUAAUCUGUUUCAAACAUUUUCCAUGUGCCAAACCAUGCUUGUUGCUGGAGACUCAGAAAUAGUUGGGGACUCAACUCUGCUCUCACAGUUGAGGAGUCAGGCAGGUAAACAGAGAAUUUCAAUAUGUGAGAAACAGGGUUUAUUGAAGGUCCAACAUGAACACAGAGGAGAGAGUAAUUACCACCGUGGAGCAGGUUUGCUGGAGAUUAUCAGCUUGGGAUUCCUGUCGGAGGAAGAUUCUCUGAAGGGUUUUGAAGUUUCAAAGGCUACCGAGUUCAACUUCUUUAAUUUAAAAUGAAGGAAUCUGAAGCACCAAGAGGAAUGUAGUACAAGAAGUUGGUCUGACUCAGAGAGAAAGUUCCCUGCUUUCAAGAUCUCAUGUGAAGUUAGGUUGGGAAGGAGAGCAAGCAGUGAUGAGUUCUAUGGAAACUACCUCCCAUGAUCUCCCCACCAGAGCCCAACUCAGCCAUACUCUUGAACUUGGAUCUGGGGCAGUGGCCCUCAAGGGCUAGCUGAACUGGAGUUGAUGACAUUUGAAGAUCUGAGAUGUCAAGGCAGUUAGAGUAAAGAGGCUGCCAGGCGGAGUGGAGCCAUUUAUUCAUUCAUUCAACACGUAUUUAUUGAGCCAGGUCUACUAUGGCCCAGGGACCACCAGAUACUGGAAAACAGGGCAAAAUACACUGAUAAAAAUAAUGACUUUGGUCAUGCAAACUGCAAUUAUGCUGUUAAUAUUAGUGUGGUAGAUUAAAUGUAGCCACAAUUUUUUUGCAAAAAAUAUCAAGAGAUGAGGCAUUUUUCCCUAUCCCUGAGACCAGUCUCACUUUGGGGCUUCCUUUGGCCAAAGCGUGUGGCAGGAGUAAUGCUUCCGGAGUCUAGGCCUCAAGAGUCCUUGUAGCUUCUGUUUUAUUCUCUUGGAACCUGGAGAUCAUACCAUAAAGAAGUCUGAGAUGAAAGACCAUGAAGACAAAGGCCCAGGUGUCCCAGCUGAGCCCAGGCCUCAGAAAACUUGGAGCUGAAUGCAGCCACUUGAGCAAGCUCAGGUUAGAACUAUCUGGCCAGCUCUCAGAAUCAUGACAAAUACAGUCAUACUUUGGAGAUAUUGUGGGUUUGAUUCCAGACCACCACAAUAAAGCAAAUGUCACAAUAAA